UACGGAGGAUCCAAGCGUUAUCCGGAUUUAUUGGGUUUAAAGGGUGCGUAGGCGGUUUAUUAAGUCAGGGGUGAAAGACGGCAGCUUAACUGUCGCAGUGCCUUUGAUACUGAUGAACUUGAAUGUACUAGAAGUAGGCGGAAUGUGACAAGUAGCGGUGAAGUGCAUAGAUAUGUCACAGAACACCGAUUGCGAAGGCAGCUUACUAUAGUAUUAUUGACGCUGAGGCACGAAAGCGUGGGGAUCAAACAGG
rnacentral:rRNA from 1 species